CCUACGGGGGGCUGCAGUAGGGAAUAUUGGUUAAUGUGCGAAAGCGCGAACCAGCAACGCCGCGUGUGCGAUGAAGGCCUUCGGGUCGUAAAGCACUUUUUGCAGGGAAGAGGAAGGACGGUACCUGCAGAAUAAGUCUCGGCUAACUACGUGCCAGCAGCCGCGGUAAAACGUAGGAGACGAGCGUUAUCCGGAUUUACUGGGCGUAAAGCGCGUGCAGGCGGCAUGGCAAGUUGGAUGUGAAAGCUCCCGGCUUAACUGGGAGAGGUCGUUCAAUACUGCCAGGCUUGAGAGUGGUAGAGGGAAGCGGAAUUCCGGGUGUAGUGGUGAAAUGCGUAGAUAUCCGGAGGAACACCAGUGGCGAAAGCGGCUUCCUGGCCCAUUUCUGACGCUCAGACGCGAAAGCUAGGGUAGCAAACGGGAUUAGAUACCCCAGUAGUC
rnacentral:rRNA from 1 species